rnacentral:lncRNA from 1 species
AAAAAAGAAAAAAAAAAAAGAAAAAGAAAACAAAAAAUAAUGUGGUCCUGAAUAUAUAAAUCAAACCAUUUCAGUUGUCAGCCAAGUACUUAUGUCUUCCUUUCUGUCCAAAAGAAGAUAAACUAUCUUCUGUAGUCCAGAAGUAUUCCACGACACAGAGCUUAUCCUCCUACUUGUUUUAUGAUGGGGAAAACCUGUACCAUCAAUCUCACUGUUGUAGAGUUG